AUAUAGCAACGUCUAUUUUCUCGUAUAUGUACAGGAAUUGGCCUGUAUGUCUCUACCCGGUCACCGGAAAUGAUCGGACUACGGGAACCCGAACCGAUUGC
rnacentral:ncRNA from 1 species